GGAUUAAAAAGAAAAUCAGGAACCCCGAUAUUUGGUCACAUCAAGUCCCUCCUUUUUGAAUAUUAAAAAAAAGUGGGGGGAGAGGCUCUCCCUAUAUCUCUAAUAUUUUAUUAAGUGCUUUAAGGGAAACAAGACCUGGCAAAUUGUUGACAUUUGUUAAAUCUGGGUAGUGAGUACCAUGUCCCUUGUAUUCUCUAACACUUAUCUGUGUGUUGUACAUAGUUCAUUAAAAACUUUAAAGAGGAGUUCCUGUCGUGGCUCAGUGGUUAACGAAUCUGACUAGGAACCACAAGCCACAGCAACGCAGAAUCCGAGCCGUGUCUGCAACCUACACCACAGCUCACAACAACGCCGGAUCGUUAACCCACUGAGCAAGGGCAGGGAUGGAACCAGCAACCUCAUGGUUCCUAGUGGGAUUCGUUAACCACUGCGCCACAACGGGAACUCCCUUCUUUCUUUUUUUGAAAUUUAUUUUAGUGAAGUGUAGUUGAUCGUAGUCUUAAAGAAGCCCUGCAAUUAUAUGAACUUAGACCCACACAACCUGCCUUUUCUAAAGUUGAAGACCGUUAGAGGAGAUGCAAAACAAACUACGUGUAGAUUGUUAGCUUUGUGUUUUAGGUUAAAAGGAUACAAAUAGAGUAUGUGAAUGGGUCCGUGUGUGAUGUCAGAUUUAGUUUAUCACGAUAACCAUCCGGAGUGCACCAGAUGUUUUGACUGUAUUUAGCUUCAUAUUGAAUUAAGCACAGCCAGUGGCCUCCAAAGUCCAUCUGUACUGCUGCCAAAGGUAGCUCUGAAGACAGCGCCUUUCCCUUCUGCCCACUGCUAGCUGCUCUUUUCCUCUUGCCACGAUGUUGAGGCUUUUGAAUUGCUCUUGGGAAAGGUGAGUCUCUGUAUCUGAAAUUUGCAUGCAGUUUAUCUGCCUUCUUGAAUGAAGGGGCUUGCCCUUUUCAUUUCAAUAGGUCGUCAUUUUCAAUUUUUGCUUAUCCAUAAACCAGUAGAAAUAAAUCAAAUAAAUCAGAUUAGUUAGGAGCUUAUUGAGGCCUAAAGUCUAGUGAGAGAGGGCAGCCGUUUAUACACAAGUAACAGUUAAACACACGUAUGCCUGAGGUUUCUGUAUGCUUGCUACUAAUCACGGAAAAAAACAAAUUAUUGCUUUUGUUAUAUAAAUAUGUAUUACGAUCUGAAAACCCUUAGUUUUGUUUACACUCAGAAAGACAAGUAUUAAAAUCACUCAAAACCUUUAUAAGGAUUUAAAUGAGUGUACCUUGACUUUUACGUAAUUUCUGCUUCAUCAGCGUAAUCAAAGGAUGCAUGGAUUCUUUCCCCGCGGGAGGGAAGCCGACAGCUGCAGUGCUCGCUCUCAGUGUGAGGAUCGUGAAGAUGGCAGACCUUGCAGAGCAGACAGUUUCCUCCCAUACCUGCUCCCACCCUUCCUAGAAAAAGCAUUUAGACGCCUCUGAAAUGAGACCCGCAAAGCGUGUGCUAAUGCCAGAACAAAUAUCUUGGAAAUUUUAUCAUAAUGUUGCUUUUUAAGGCCCUAAAUGUCCUCUAUUUAAAAUGAAAUUCUUUUGUAUUAACCUCCUUUCAUAUGCUGGCUUUCACCAGCCUGCAGAAUUGCCUGAUUUGACUUUCUAAUGUAACUGUAAUGAAUCUUCUGGGAAGCCAAACGAUUGAACACGCGUACUCUGCGUCUCCAUUGUAAGAUAGUCAGUCCUGUCGAUGUUGCUGAUUAAAAAAAAAAAAAAAAAAAAAAAA
ensembl:lncRNA